rnacentral:rRNA from 1 species
GCUCAGUAACACGUGGAUAACCUACCCUUAGGACUGGGAUAACCCUGGGAAACUGGGGAUAAUACUAGAUAGGCAAUUUUUCCUGGAAUGGUUUUUUGUUUAAAUGUUUUUUCGCCUAAGGAUGGGUCUGCGGCCGAUUAGGUAGUUGGUUAGGUAACGGCUUACCAAGCCAUUGAUCGGUACGGGUUGUGAGAGCAAGAGCCCGGAGAUGGAACCUGAGACAAGGUUCCAGGCCCUACGGGGUGCAGCAGGCGCGAAACCUCCGCAAUGUGAGAAAUCGCGACGGGGGGAUCCCAAGUGCCAUUCUUAACGGGAUGGCUUUUCAUUAGUGUAAAGAGCUUUUGGAAUAAGGGCUGGGCAAGACCGGUGCCAGCCGCCGCGGUAACACCGGCAGCUCUAGUGGUAGCAGUUUUUAUUGGGCCUAAAGCGUCCGUAGCCGGUUUAAUAAGUCUCUGGUGAAAUCCUGUAGCUUAACUGUGGGAAUUGCUGGAGAUACUAUUAGACUUGAGACCGGGAGAGGUUAGAGGUACUCCCAGGGUAGAGGUGAAAUUCUGUAAUCCUGGGAGGACCGCCUGUUGCGAAGGCGUCUAACUGGAACGGUUCUGACGGUGAGGGACGAAAGUUAGGGGCGCGAACCGGAUUAGAUACCCGGGUAGUCCCAACUGUAAACGAUGCGGACUUGGUGUUGGGGUGGCUUUGAGCUGUUCCAGUGCCGAAGGGAAGCUGUUAAGUCCGCCGCCUGGGAAGUACGGUCGCAAGACUGAAACUUAAAGGAAUCGGCGGGGGAGCACCACAACGCGUGGAGCCUGCGGUUUAAUUGGAUUCAACGCCGGACAUCUCACCAGAGGCGACAGCUGUAUGAUAGCCAGGUUGAUGACUUUGCUUGACUAGCUGAGAGGAGGUGCAUGGCCGCCGUCAGCUCGUACCGUGAGGCGUCCUGUUAAGUCAGGCAACGAGCGAGACCCACGCCCUUAGUUACCAGCUUAUCCUUUUUUGGAUGAUGGGCACACUAAGGGGACCGCCUAUGAUAAAUAGGAGGAAGGAGUGGACGACGGUAGGUCCGUAUGCCCCGAAUCCUCUGGGCAACACGCGGGCUACAAUGGCUGAGACAAUGGGUUCCGACACCGAAAGGUGGAGGUAAUCCUCUAAACUUAGUCGUAGUUCGGAUUGAGGACUGUAACUCGUUCUCAUGAAGCUGGAAUGCGUAGUAAUCGCGUAUUACUAUUGCGCGGUGAAUACGUCCCUGCUCCUUGCACACACCG